AAUGGUUGGCAACUUGGUAGUCAAAUAUUUCUGUACCUGGUGUCGAGUGUCGCAAGUGACCGGGCCGGCAUCGGCGAAAGCUUCUGCAGUCGUCUGCUCUUCGGAUUCCGUUGGUGAUUUCGAUGUUCUUCUGUUCUAGGAUCUAGAUGCUGUGGAGAAACUGCUAUACUCGCGAGGGGAUUUGGGUUUGUAUACCAAUAUAAAUGGUGUUGAGUUGGAAGAGAGUUGCGGAGGGGACCAUAUCUGUAUAGCUGUUAUAAAACUCCAGAAUUUGGGAGUUCGGAUUAGAGUACACGCUGUAUUUGUUGGGAACAUCAGACUUGGCAGGUGAAUGGAAGCUGUUUCCUAGAGCAAAAUUCAUAGCUGUAUGGGCCUUGUUAAAAUGAGUUUUCCUUUUAUGUGGAAAGACUGGUCAUGGUAAUAAAUUCUUAGUAAAUUC